rnacentral:lncRNA from 1 species
GCCAAUACUAAAGCCCAACAGUAACCCUAUUCUGAAUACACCUCCUAAGUUUCCUAUACAUACUCCUCCUAAACUAGACUCCACCAGAUCAUGCCAUGUGGCAAUCUAAAACCCUAAAAUGCUAUCCAAUCAGGUGCUGCCACAUCACCACACUUGACACGUCAUCAUCAUCUUCCACAAGAAAUCUAAUUCCCAAUCAAACCCUAGCCGUCUGCCAC